rnacentral:rRNA from 1 species
GAUGAACGCUGGCGGCGUGCUUAACACAUGCAAGUCGAACGAAGCACUUUUAAUCGAUUUCCUCGGAAUGAAGUUAUUUGUGACUGAGUGGCGGACGGGUGAGUAACGCGUGGGUAACCUGCCUCAUACAGGGGGAUAACAGUUGGAAACGACUGCUAAUACCGCAUAAGCGCACAGUACCGCAUGGUACGGUGUGAAAAACUCCGGUGGGUAUGAGAUGGACCCGCGUCUGAUUAGCUAGUUGGUGAGGUACCGGCUCACCAAGGCGACGAUCAGUAGCCGACCUUGGAGGGGGACCGGCCACAUUGGGACUGAGACACGGCCCAAACUCCUACGGGAGGCAGCAGUGGGGAAGAUUGCACAAUGGGCGAAACCCUGACCCAGCAACGCCGCGUGAAGGAAGAAGGCCCUCGGGUUGUAAACUUCUUUUACCAGGGACGAAGAACGUGACGGUACCUGGAGAAAAAGCAACGGCUAACUACGUGCCAGCCGCCGCCGUAAAAC